rnacentral:rRNA from 1 species
UACAGAGGGUGCGAGCGUUGUUCGGAAUUACUGGGCGUAAAGCGCGCGCAGGCGGCCCUUUAAGUCCGUCGGUGAAAGACCGGGGCUCAACCCCGUGUCAGCCAUGGAUACUGGAGGGCUGGAGACAGGUAGAGGCAAGCGGAAUUCCGGGUGUAGCGGUGAAAUGCGUAGAUAUCAGGAGGAACACCUGCGGUGUAGACGGCUUACUGGACCAUAACUGACGCUGAGGCACGAAAGCGUGGGUAGCAAACAGG